AGCUGGAGCUUGCUCCGGCCGAUUUAGUGGCGGACGGGUGAGUAACGCGUGGGUAACCUGCCUCAUACAGGGGGAUAGCAGUUGGAAACGACUGGUAAAACCGCAUAAGCGCACGGUGUCGCAUGACACAGUGUGAAAACACUCCGGUGGUAUGAGAUGGACCCGCGUCUGAUUAGCUAGUUGGUGAGGUAACGGCCCACCAAGGCGACGAUCAGUAGCCGGCCUGAGAGGGUGAACGGCCACAUUGGGACUGAGACACGGCCCAAACUCCUACGGGAGGCAGCAGUGGGGAAUAUUGCACAAUGGGGGAAACCCUGAUGCAGCGACGCCGCGUGAGUGAUGAAGUAUUUCGGUAUGUAAAGCUCUAUCAGCAGGGAAGAUAAUGACGGUACCUGACUAAGAAGCACCGGCUAAAUACGUGCCAGCAGCCGCGGUAAUACGUAUGGUGCAAGCGUUAUCCGGAUUUACUGGGUGUAAAGGGUGCGUAGGUGGCAAGGCAAGUCUGAAGUGAAAAUCCGGGGCUCAACCCCGGAACUGCUUUGGAAACUGUUUAGCUGGAGUACAGGAGAGGUAAGUGGAAUUCCUAGUGUAGCGGUGAAAUGCGUAGAUAUUAGGAGGAACACCAGUGGCGAAGGCGACUUACUGGACUGCCACUGACACUGAGGCACGAAAGCGUGGGGAGCAAACAGGAUUA
rnacentral:rRNA from 1 species